UGCAAGUCGAACGCUUCUUUUUCCACCGGAGCUUGCUCCACCGGAAAAAGAGGAGUGGCGAACGGGUGAGUAACACGUGGGUAACCUGCCCAUCAGAAGGGGAUAACACUUGGAAACAGGUGCUAAUACCGUAUAACAAUCGAAACCGCAUGGUUUCGAUUUGAAAGGCGCUUUCGGGUGUCGCUGAUGGAUGGACCCGCGGUGCAUUAGCUAGUUGGUGAGGUAACGGCUCACCAAGGCGACGAUGCAUAGCCGACCUGAGAGGGUGAUCGGCCACAUUGGGACUGAGACACGGCCCAAACUCCUACGGGAGGCAGCAGUAGGGAAUCUUCGGCAAUGGACGAAAGUCUGACCGAGCAACGCCGCGUGAGUGAAGAAGGUUUUCGGAUCGUAAAACUCUGUUGUUAGAGAAGAACAAGGAUGAGAGUAACUGUUCAUCCCUUGACGGUAUCUAACCAGAAAGCCACGGCUAACUACGUGCCA
rnacentral:rRNA from 1 species